rnacentral:rRNA from 1 species
CUGCCCGAUAGAGGGGGAUACCAGUUGGAAACGACUGUUAAUACCGCAUAAUGUCUACGGACCAAAGUGUGGGACCUUCGGGCCACAUGCUAUCGGAUGCGCCUACGUGGGAUUAGCUAGUUGGUGAGGUAAUGGCUCACCAAGGCGACGAUCUCUAGCUGGUUUGAGAGGAUGAUCAGCCACACUGGAACUGAGACACGGUCCAGACUCCUACGGGAGGCAGCAGUGGGGAAUAUUGGACAAUGGGCGCAAGCCUGAUCCAGCCAUGCCGCGUGUGUGAAGAAGGCCUUCGGGUUGUAAAGCACUUUCAGCGAGGAGGAAGGGGUGUGUGUUAAUAGUACACACCUUUGACGUUACUCGCAGAAGAAGCACCGGCUAACUCUGUGCCAGCAGCCGCGGUAAUACAGAGGGUGCAAGCGUUAAUCGGAAUUACUGGGCGUAAAGCGCACGUAGGCGGUUUUUUAACGUCAGAUGUGAAAGCCCCGGGCUCAACCUGGGAAUUGCAUUUGAAACUGGGGAACUAGAGUGUGUGAGAGGGGGGUAGAAUUCCAAGUGUAGCGGUGAAA